rnacentral:rRNA from 1 species
CACGUAGGGUGCGAGCGUUGUCCGGAAUUAUUGGGCGUAAAGAGCUCGUAGGCGGUGUGUCGCGUCGGCCGUGAAAACCUGCAGCUUAACUGUGGGCUUGCGGUCGAUACGGGCAUCACUGGAGUUCGGCAGGGGAGACUGGAAUUCCUGGUGUAGCGGUGAAAUGCGCAGAUAUCAGGAGGAACACCAGUGGCGAAGGCGACACGCUGGGCCAUACCUGACGCUAAAGCGCGACAGCAUGGGGAGCAAACGGG